rnacentral:rRNA from 1 species
CAGUCGCCGCGGUAAUACGAAGGGGGCUAGCGUUGCUCGGAAUGACUGGGCGUAAAGGGCGCGUAGGCGGCACAUACAGUCAGAUGUGAAAUUCCUGGGCUUAACCUGGGGGCUGCAUUUGAUACGUAUGAGCUAGAGUGGGGAAGAGGGUUGUGGAAUUCCCAGUGUAGAGGUGAAAUUCGUAGAUAUUGGGAAGAACACCGGUGGCGAAGGCGGCAACCUGGUCCUUGACUGACGCUGAGGCGCGAAAGCGUGGGGAGCAAACAGGAUUAGAUACCCCAGUAGUCCCUGUCUCUUAUAC